rnacentral:rRNA from 1 species
GACGAACGCUGGCGGCGUGCCUAAUACAUGCAAGUUGAGCGAUGAAGAUUGGUGCUCGCACCAAUUUGCAGAGCAGCGAACGGGUGAGUAACGCGUGGGGAAUCUGCCUUUGAGCGGGGGACAACAUUUGGAAACGAAUGCUAAUACCGCAUAAUAACUUUAAACAUAAGUUUUAAGUUUGAAAGAUGCAAUUGCAUCACUCAAAGAUGAUCCCGCGUUGUAUUAGCUAGUUGGUGAGGUAAAGGCUCACCAAGGCGAUGAUACAUAGCCGACCUGAGAGGGUGAUCGGCCACAUUGGGACUGAGACACGGCCCAAACUCCUACGGGAGGCAGCAGUAGGGAAUCUUCGGCAAUGGACGAAAGUCUGACCGAGCAACGCCGCGUGAGUGAAGAAGGUUUUCGGAUCGUAAAACUCUGUCGGUAGAGAAGAACGUUGGUGAGAGUGGAAAGCUCAUCAAGUGACGGUAACUACCCAGAAAGGGACGGCUAACUACGUG